GUUUUUUAACAUCACCAGUUUUAACCAGCAGGAAGCCCCGGUGAGAACAGUGAGGAGACGCUACCUUACUUCUGAAGUGGCUGCAGAUUUUAUAGAGAUUUUACAGAGCACUCCUGCAGUGAUUUUACCUGCAUCUUGUGAUUUUAUUGUUGACGAUUUUAACAGUAAACUGAAGUCCAGUCUGGAUUCAGUCGCUCCACUUUUAACUAAAACAAUCAAGGGCCAUUCCAAACCCCCGUGGAGGAGAAAUGAUAUAGUCAUCAAACUGAAAAGAAACUGCAGGAGUGCUGAAAGAAGGUGGAGAAAAUCCAAGUUGACCGUACAUCACCAGAUUCUACGUCAACAACUCAAAAUUUACAAUAAUGCAGUUAAACAGGCCCGAACUUCCCACUUCUCUCAACUUAUUUCAGACAAUAAAGACAACCCCCGGUUCCUCUUCUCCACCUUCAACAUUUUAACUGGCACUAAUUUUAAUAAAGCUUUUAAGGAGCCAACAGACGCUCUCUGUGAAGACUUUGCAGACCACUUCGGAACUAAAAUCAUGGACAUCAGGUCUAGUCUUUUACCCCAACAGGUUUUAUCAGUGAACACAGCUGAACCGUUGUCCAUGCCUGAGGAAACACUGGACAGUUUUGACCUGGUUGAUGCGAGGACUCUUGGUCGAGUUUUCUCCCAAGUAAAAUCAACAACCUGCCUUUUAGAUCCCAUCCCCACACCACUUUUUAAAUCACUUUAUGGAUUCCUUGAGGAACAGAUUUUAAAUAUCAUGAACAGCUCUCUUCAGACGGGUGUCUUCCCCACUGCCUUUAAAACGGCGGUGGUGAAGCCCCUUCUGAAGAAGAGCAAUUUAGACCCCAAUGUUCUUAAUAACUACAGACCAGUAUCCAACUUACCAUUUUUAAGUAAAGUUUUAGAAAGACUGGUUUUUAACCAAGUCAAUGACUUUUUAAUGAUUAAUAACAUUUUAGAAAGACAUCAGUCUGGUUUUAGAGUGAACCACAGUACCGAGACGGCCCUUUUAAAGAUUUUAAAUGAUAUCAGGUGGAAUUUAGAUAAUAAAAAG
ensembl:lncRNA